rnacentral:rRNA from 1 species
AGAGUUUGAUCAUGGCUCAGAUUGAACGCUGGCGGUAGGCUUAACACAUGCAAGUCGUGCGAGAAAGUACCUUCGGGUGCGAGUAGAGCGGCGGACGGGUGAGUAACGCGUAGGAAUCUACCUAGUAGAAGGGGAUAGCCCGGGGAAACCCGGAUUAAUACCGUAUACCUCCUUAGGGAGAAAGAGGGCUUAGCUUUGAUGCUCUCGCUAUUAGAUGAGCCUGCGUAAGAUUAGCUUGUUGGUGAGGUAAUGGCUCACCAAGGCAACGAUCUUUAGCUGGUCUGAGAGGACGAUCAGCCACAUUGGGACUGAGACACGGCCCAGACUCCUACGGGAGGCAGCAGUGGGGAAUAUUGGACAAUGGGCGCAAGCCUGAUCCAGCCAUACCGCGUGUGUGAAGAAGGCUUUCGGGUUGUAAAGCACCUUAAGUAAGGGGAAAAAGAUUGUAGUUAAUACCUGCAAUCCGUGAUGUUACUUACAGAAUAAGGACCGGCUAAUUCCGUGCCAGCAGCCGCGGUAAUACGGAAGGUCCAAGCGUUAAUCGGAAUUACUGGGCGUAAAGCGCGCGUAGGUGGUUUUUUAAGUUGGAUGUGAAAGCCCUGGGCUCAACCUAGGAACUGCA